rnacentral:tRNA from 1 species
GCCUUUUAGCUCAGUCGGUAGAGCGUUGGACUUUUAAUCCAACGGUUAAGGGUUCAAGUCCCUUAUCGGGCU